UAAGGAAUAUUGGUCAAUGGACGCAAGCCUGAACCAGCCAUGCCGCGUGGAGGAUGAAGGUCCUCUGGAUUGUAAACUUCUUUUAUCUGGGAAGAAAUCCAUUUUUUCUAAGAUGGUUGACGGUACCAGACGAAUAAGCACCGGCUAACUCCGUGCCAGCAGCCGCGGUAAUACGGAGGGUGCAAGCGUUAUCCGGAUUCACUGGGUUUAAAGGGUGCGUAGGUGGGCAGUUAAGUCAGUGGUGAAAUCUCCGGGCUUAACCCGGAAACUGCCAUUGAUACUAUCUGUCUUGAAUGCCGUGGAGGUAAGCGGAAUAUGUCAUGUAGCGGUGAAAUGCUUAGAUAUGACAUAGAACACCAAUUGCGAAGGCAGCUUACUACACGAAUAUUGACACUGAGGCACGAAAGCGUGGGGAUCAAACAGGAUUAGAUACCCUGGUAGUCCACGCCCUAAACGAUGGAUACUCGACAUACGCGAUACACAGU
rnacentral:rRNA from 1 species